CUUCAUGGGACUCACCACUCCCCUGGCUCCUGUGAGAGCAGCUGCAGGGACAGGUGAUCAGGGUUUGUCUCAUUUAGAAGCUUCGCUAUUUUCUGCUCUGUCUCGUGCUGCAUCGCUGUCAUGAUGAUUCUGUUCCUCGUGUUUGUCCCCGUGCAGGUGAUCGUGACCGUCUGUCCCAAGGCCACAGAGACUGCCUGUGGUUGACUCAGCUCAGCAGUGACCACUGAACCUGCAAGAGGAGAGGAGAAGAGAGAACAUACAGGAAGCAUCACUGGAAUGAAAGAGUAAGUUGCAGUCCUUUGAUGACACCAGACACGUGAUGUAUGAAAGGAAGAUGAAUACACUGACCUCAUCAAAACCCCUAUCUUUUGAUUUAUAAAACCUCCUCCACAGGAUAAAAGAAACAAGUAACAGGCAACAGAACAGACUAGCAAAGACAUAUCUGAUGAACAGCUAGUGCAGAGAGGACACUAAGAAAUGUGAUCACUGAACAGUGAAGACACAACCACUGAGGAAAGGAGACUGAGUGGAACCAACACUUGUGUGCGGAGGAUGCAGGAUGGCGGGAGCGGGAGCAAGAGCUUGUCAUCCGUCAUCUGGAAAACACCAUUGUAACCUGAGGAGAAGGUGUCCCCAUGUGCCCUCAGAUUGGCUGAUGUAGAAAAGAGGACCCCAAAUACUGGCAGGGUGAGGAGAACUGGGCCCUUACACCUGACUGAUGGGGUGAAAUUAACCACAAAACUGGAGACACCUGCAUUUCCCACACAGGAGCUUGGUGGUUCUCUCAGGUAUUUAGUUCAGAUCCUGAGAAGUCACAUUUGCAGAAGGUCUAAUCACUGAUAAUCAUGACACCUUUGCGCACAAGAGCUUCUCCAGAUGCUGUCCCGAGAGAAAGCAGAUGCCAGGCCUGGUGUCGAUUACCAGAUUCUGUUUCAUGAACCAUGGAAUCCUACUCAGCAAAGAAAAGGAAGAUCUCUUCUUUUCUUCAAUUUUUAAUCUAAACUUUUUUAACAUCAUUGUUCAUUCUCCCCUCAGGUGUAAUCCCCAGAACAUUCCCACCAGCAAGUCACCCAUGAAGGUCACCAUCGUCUCCUGUGCUCUUCCCACCCCUGUUUUGAUCCCUCUCCCGCACCCUCCCCAGCCGAAUGUCUGUCAUUUGUAUUUUGCUGCUAGUUUUGUCUUUUUCCCCCCUGAUCCCUGGUUUGGUUUUCCUAUGCCCUCCUGUAAGAGAAACCAUCCGACAUCUUUCUCCUCUUUCUGACUUAUCGCACUGAGCAUGAUCAAAAAGGAAUGACCUCUUAAGGCAACAAUAACUAAGAGGCCCCAGGGAGCUAGUGCUGAGUGACAAUGCCAGUGCCAAGGCUGCACUCAAUAGUCACACGGGUGGUCUGACUUCCCCAGUUCCAGAAGGAACAGGGAGCUGGUGGUCGCUUUGAACGGACAAAAGGCCGGGGAGUGUGCACAAAGUUCAUUAGGAGCAAAGCAGGACAACUUUGAAGCAGAAGCAGCAAAGCAAAGCUCCUGUUCCUGGGAGGGGACUCGAAUAUGAGUUGUCAUUGGCAGGAUCCCCAAGGCUGCCUUACUGCUGGGAUGGUAGUUGCUGGAUUUGUUCUUCCUUUGAUGGGGCUUUGUUUUGAAUUUUUUGUGUUUCUCAGCUGCUGUUCCCUGGCCUGGAUCUGUCCUGCUCUCUAGAGGUGGGUGCUGCACCCCCUUCCCUGGACUCUGUCUCCCCAUGUCCCUGAGCUGUGUCCUGACCUUCAUUUCCUAACUCAGAGGGACUCUUUUUUCCUAACCUAUCCCCUCUGAAAAGACACUGUGAGAUGAAAGAACCAGUCAGAAAGUAAUGCCUGGGUUAGGACUGGAGGGUGCUGGCGGGAGGGGGAGGCAUAUUCUUAAAGGUCAGCACGCGGCCCCUUGGGCUAAGGGAACUGUUGGUAUCCAGGCCCUAAGGGUGGAUCUAGGAACCCACUCUUAUUCCCUUCUGGGACCCUGGAGGGUGGGAGGGUGUGGUUGUUGUAGAAAUUUACCCCUCCCCUGGGGCUCCUCACUAAGAUGGGGAACAGCUGUGGGGUAGAUCAGGUGACUGAGGCUCCUGGGUUGAGCAUCAGAAUCUACCACAUGCUGGUCAUGUCAGAAAGGCAGCCUGGCCUCCAAGGUCUGUAAUCACAGUCACCUCCUGGGGUGGGACCCCACAUAGCCUUCAGGCCCCACCUGGGGUCUGUCCUGGCUGGCUGAGACUGCAGGGUCUUCCAGGAGACUGGGCUGGGGCCGAGCUGGACCAUGACAGAAAUCAGAAUCCAGCGUUCCUGGGGUUGGGGUCCCCAGCACCCUCAUUCUUUCUCUUCCUGUCAUCCUCCUGUGUACCCCAGGCGCACAUGCUCCCAUCGGGGACUGUGGUUAAGAAUAUGUGUGUGUGGCUUCUGUCGUUGGCUGUUUGUCCAUUACUGAGUGCAUGGAAGUUUCCUUGUUAAACAACCGUCCCCUUUGGAAGAGUGAUCACAGCUUGGUCUCAUUUUCCAAGUGGUGUUGGGUCCUUGUUGUGACAGCCCCGACACCAUUGACCUUGACACUCUAGGAUUUCACUACUCUUUUGUAUAAGAUGUGAGGCUUUAGAAAUCCAGACCUGGCUAAGAAACCCUGUUUUGGCUCCACGUGAUCUGAAGAUUCCCAGGGUCAUGGUCUUUGCACAGAGGGAGAGCUCUGGGAACUGAAUGGACAGGGGUUCCCCAGGGCAUGUGGAUUCUUAAUUCAAUGACCAGGGACAGCCCGUGACCAGACUGUGACCAGAGAAGGGAGAAUUACUUCACGCUGCAGAAGGUCUCUUAUGUGGGCACCGAUCGCCUUCCAGGGCCCUGGGUGUCCCGAGAAGUGUGCCUGCCCCUCCUGAGCAAAGUAGGUGCAGCCUGAGCUCACAGUCAGCCUGGAGGACGGAGAGGCAGGAACAGUGGUGAGGGUGUCCCUGAUGUGCCAGCAGAGAGGGUCAGCUCCCUGGGCACAGGCUCUAUGGCUCAUUUCCCAGGUGAUGCCCCCUGGAUCCUGGUCCCAUCAGUGUCCUGGCAGCACACUAUGAUUCUGACCCUCAAAAUAUGGUCACUGCAGCCUGGGGGAAGAUCUGGCUGUGCUGAGUUCCUCUGAAGCUGUUCUGGUUCCCAGACCCCAGGGCAGGUUUGUCCCACUGAGGCUCCUGGGCAGCCCAGCUUUGUUCUGGGGCUCCUGCCUGAAGCUCUGCUGCCCCCUGCUGGUGGAGGACAGCUCAUGCCAGGAAGCUCCUUGCCAGCCCCAGAGUCCCUGUCCAAGGAGAGAGUGUUGAACAGAGUUCAGCCCUCCCCUGUGCCAGCUGUGAUCCCCUGGCCUCCUGGCAGAGCGCAGCAAGAUAGAAUACGGGGCACGGGGGGGCAGGCCAUGUCAGUUUUUUGAAGCACAUCCCACUUGUCAAGUGCCCUAGCUGGGGUGAUUUGUUCAUUUGCAAAUUUGCUGUCUGGAACCUGAGUGAUGCUGUAGGCACCCCUGCCUUCAUGUCAGCUCAGAUUCAGGAAGAAGCCUCCCCCCUCGGCAUGGAGAGGCUGAUCAUUACCAGGGCCACUGGUGCUUCCUGACCCGAAACUCAGUUGCACUCACCCCUCGUGAUUAUUUACCAGGGUUUUUAUCACCAUAAAUUUCCCAGAGUUCAUGUUGAAGCGUUUCUCCCUCAGCCUCGCCUGAACUGCCGCUUAUUUUUGUCUUUGUAUUUACUGUUGAUAUAUUCUCGCAGCCCAUACUUCGGUAUAGCUUUUCAAUUCAAUUGAUAGCCUCUGCUCUUAAUUGUGAUAUUUGAUUAUUUACAAUGA